rnacentral:rRNA from 1 species
GACGAACCGUGCGAACGUUGUUCGGAAUCACUGGGCUUAAAGGGCGCGUAGGCGGGCCACCCAGUCCGGGGUGAAAUCUUUCGGCUCAACCGGAAAAGGGCCUUGGAUACUGGUGGUCUGGAGGAAGGUAGGGGCAUGCGGAACUUCCGGUGGAGCGGUGAAAUGCGUUGAUAUCGGAAGGAACGCCGGUGGCGAAAGCGGCGUGCUGGACCUUUGCUGACGCUGAUGCGCGAAAGCCAGGGGAGCGAACGGG